rnacentral:RNase_P_RNA from 1 species
UGAGCAGACUAUGCGGCAGCGUGAACGAAAUAGUUUAUGAGGAAAGUCCGGGCAUCACAGAGCAGGGUAGCUGCUAACGGCAGCCGAGGGCGACCUUAGGGCAAGUGCAACAGAAAUAAACUGCCUGAGAGAUCAGGUAAAGGUGGAAAGGCGAGGUAAGAGCUCACCGGGGUGCGGGAGACCGUACCGCCAUGUAAACCCUAUCCGAUGCAACGUCUAUUGGUGCUGUGCAUCUCAACGCCGGCUCGGCGGAUGUACAGUAAUGACGGCUUGAGCUUAUUGGCGACGAUAAGAGUAGAUAAAUUGCCGCACACGACAGAACCCGGCUUAUCGGUCUGGUCAUUAA